rnacentral:rRNA from 1 species
UACGUAGGUGACGAGCGUUAUCCGGAAUUAUUGGGCGUAAAGCGCACGCAGGCGGCUUAUCAAGUCUGACGUGAAAUCUCCCAGCUUAACUGGGAGCGGUCGUUGGAAACUGAUGGGCUUGAGGCAAGGAGAGGGGUGUGGAAUUCCCGGUGUAGUGGUGGAAUGCGUAGAGAUCGGGAGGAACACCAGUGGCGAAGGCGACUACCUGGCCUGUUCUUGACGCUGAGGCGCGAAAGCUAGGGGAGCAAACGGG